rnacentral:ncRNA from 1 species
GUGCCCUAGAAAAGGAGAGACGUUUGGCAGCCCCCUGCGCAAGGUCGGAUGUUAACUCUCUCUCUGAGGCGUUAAGUCCACAAAGUGGCGCGUUUUUU